ACCAAAACACGAACCUCGCCGGAGAGCCGCCGUACCCGAGAGCGCCGCCGCCGGUAAGCUCCGCUUUUCCGUGAUUUUUGGCCCCCCGAGGGCCCUAGGGUUGUUUUCUGACAAGGACCAAUGUGAGUGUGGCCGAAUUCGGCCGAAAACAGCCAACCCGAGGCGACUCGCCGCCGCCAGCGGCGGCGCCGUCGCCGGAGCACGGCGGAGCCGCCGUGCCGGAGUUGCGAUUUGGUCCGAAAGGGGCCCUGGGCCUAAUUUGGAUUUUUUUUGGAACACGUGCAGGUACUGUUAGUGUGUUUCAGUUCCCCGGGAAAAAUUCAGAGAAAAUUAGGGACGGCCUGCAGGCGCACUGUGAAUCGUAUUCGGAUUCCGAAAACAAGUAAGGACCCCUCACCCUAUUUCCUAUCACGGUAUUAAAGUUCAAAAUGAUAAAACGGUAUUUCUUGAAUUAACGAAUGUGUGAAAUUGCUUAAGGUGACUAAUGGAGCCCGAGUCUAGUGUGAUUGGUGAUUUACUGUUAUUUAGCCUGUUUACAGCUUUAAAUGCAAAAUGAGGUUUGAUGUGUUCAUUUUACAGAUUUGUGUGCAAAUACUACGUUUUUAUUAAUCAUUGGUUGAAUGACUGAAAAACUGAUACUGUAUGUUGUCUGUUCGGCAUGAAUUACUGUUUUGCUUGUUUGUAUGUGAAUUGAUGAUGCUGACUGAGGAAAAGGAAAAUGAAAGAUUGUGUAGACUGAUAAUUGUAUUAUGAGGGUCAGCCUAACUAGAUAUCCUAGGAGAUGGUGGACGGACCAGGUCCGUAGGGAACCCUACCGGGAUUGUGGUCUCACAUGCCGGACGGGGUAUGGAGAUCUUAUGGUUUUGGCACCCAUAUCGGACGGGGUAUGGGGACGGCCCGUUCCACCCUCAUACCGGACGGGGUAUUGAGGUUUAUGGUUUUGGCGCCCAUACCGGACGGGGUAUGGGGACGGCCCGUUUCACCCUCAUACCGGACGGGGUAUUGAGGUUCAUGGUUUUGGCGCCCAUACCGGACGGGGUAUGGGGACGGCCCUGGAAACUGAUUAUGAAUGUUAAAGGUUAACGGGUAGCGGAACCCCUAUGGACCCCCACGGAUACUAGUAGGCUGGUAAAUGAGAAAAAAGAUAUGUUGUACAAUGAUUGAAUUACAAGAGGCGUGAUAAGUGUUAUGCUUUACAGCUUAUACUAUUCCAUGAUUAUGAUAAUGUUAUUAUUUUUCUUAUAUUGUUUUCAUAAAUUCCACCGAGGUAAGUGGAUGGUAAAGGUUUUCAUGUUAAUAAACGAGUUUAUUGUAAAUUAUGCUCCAUUGGUCUUUUUGUGUUUUUCUACCCACCUUUACCUCCGUGACGGUGAGAUAUCGUGAUGUUCUUACUGGGCUAGUGUAGCUCACUCCUUAUUUAACCAUUUCAGAUCAGGAAGACAUGGUUCCCGAGCCCGUUCCGCAGGAGGACGACGAAGGGGAUGCCUAGAGACUCUGUAGUCAUACUCAUAGUUUUAUUUUCGAGUUUCUCUCUUAGUUAGUUUAAUCUUUUAUAUUUUAAGUACGUUUUUUGUUUUUCGUGUAAGGGAUGUUAACUGAAAUUUUGAUCUCGCUUCCGCAUUUGAUAUAUUUAAAUACUCAUUUCAUUUUAAUAUUUCCAGGGCCGUUACAUAAUUCAUUAAAAAUUACAAUUUAAAUAAUUU
rnacentral:lncRNA from 1 species